AUUGAACGCUGGCGGCAUGCUUUACACAUGCAAGUCGAACGGUAACAGGUUAAGCUGACGAGUGGCGAACGGGUGAGUAAUGCAUCGGAACGUGCCCAAUCGUGGGGGAUAACGCAGCGAAAGCUGCGCUAAUACCGCAUACGAUCUGAGGAUGAAAGCGGGGGACCGUAAGGCCUCGCGCGAUCGGAGCGGCCGAUGUCAGAUUAGGUAGUUGGUGGGGUAAAGGCCCACCAAGCCGACGAUCUGUAGCUGGUCUGAGAGGACGACCAGCCACACUGGGACUGAGACACGGCCCAGACUCCUACGGGAGGCAGCAGUGGGGAAUUUUGGACAAUGGGCGAAAGCCUGAUCCAGCAAUGCCGCGUGCAGGAAGAAGGCCUUCGGGUUGUAAACUGCUUUUGUACGGAGCGAAAAGGUCCUUUCUAAUACAAGGGGCUCAUGACGGUACCGUAAGAAUAAGCACCGGCUAACUACGUGCCAGCAGCCGCGGUAAUAC
rnacentral:rRNA from 1 species